GAUGAACGCUGGCGGCGUGCCUAAUACAUGCAAGUCGAGCGAAUGGAUUAAGAGCUUGCUCUUAUGAAGUUAGCGGCGGACGGGUGAGUAACACGUGGGUAACCUGCCCAUAAGACUGGGAUAACUCCGGGAAACCGGGGCUAAUACCGGAUAACAUUUUGAACCGCCUGGUUCGAAAUUGACAGGCGGCUUCGGCUGUCACUUAUGGAUGGACCCGCGUCGCAUUAGCUAGUUGGUGAGGUAACGGCUCACCAAGGCAACGAUGCGUAGCCGACCUGAGAGGGUGAUCGGCCACACUGGGACUGAGACACGGCCCAGACUCCUACGGGAGGCAGCAGUAGGGAAUCUUCCGCAAUGGACGAAAGUCUGACGGAGCAACGCCGCGUGAGUGAUGAAGGCUUUCGGGUCGUAAAACUCUGUUGUAAGGGAAGAACAAGUGCCGCAGGCAAUGGCGGCACCUUGACGGUACCUUGCGAGAAAGCCACGGCUAACUACGUGCCAGCCGCCGCGGUAA
rnacentral:rRNA from 1 species